rnacentral:rRNA from 1 species
GUGCCAGCAGCCGCGGUAAUACGAAGGGGGCUAGCGUUGCUCGGAAUUACUGGGCGUAAAGCGCACGUAGGCGGAUUGUUAAGUCAGGGGUGAAAUCCUGGAGCUCAACUCCAGAACUGCCUUUGAUACUGGAGAGCUUGAGUCCGGGAGAGGUGAGUGGAACUCCGAGUGUAGAGGUGAAAUUCGUAGAUAUUCGGAAGAACACCAGUGGCGAAGGCGGCUCACUGGCCCGGUACUGACGCUGAUGUGCGAAAGCGUGGGGAGCAAACAGGAUUAGAAACCCCAGUAGUCC